AGAAGAUCUACAUCACUCUUGAGCUGCCCCUAAUCCCCACACACGCGUGCCGCCGCUGGUGAUCGCUGGACGUCGCCUCCAUCACCCCCUCUGCCAGCGACCGACAUCCUUGACUCGCCGUCACUCCCAGCCUUUGCCGCCCAGGAUACGAUGUGCAAACAGGCAGCAAAACCAUGGCAAUCUAGAGAACAGGUUGGCAAUUUGGCAUAUUCAUGUGAGAAUACGAUGUGCUACGGAGCUAAGGAUGGAAGGAGACCUCUCCAAGCAGAUUUUUUUUUUGUUUCUCCAUGCUUCUUUUGCCUGCAAGUCUGUAACCAAACUACUCCUCUUUCAACUCACGGUCUAGCAUCCGCUCAAUCUGUAUAGAAUGUGUCUUAACUAUCUAAGCUCAAUAAUUAAUUGAGAGCAAUAUUUAGUUCUAUUUAGUUAUUGAAUCCUUAGUGCCUCCUCCAUCCUCCCUGUCUCUCUCUCCUCUUAACUGUUUGUAAUGCUCUGGAUUUUGGUGGUGGCAGGAGGAUUUGGUCUGGUCUGAAUAUGUUUCCAGUCUAAACCAAGUCUAAAUCAGUAGUAGACUAUCACUGUUGUUGAUUUGAGAGUAUUUAUAUUUGUUGUUGAUUUCCUUUUAUAUAAUUAACUUGAAAUUGAAAUUGCAUUCAGGUCACAAAUCUAGGUUCACUAAACCCAAAGGCUUUUGUAGCAAUGGGAUGGCUGGUGCUAGUGGUUACUUGGGCAGCUAUGGGGGUGAUGGUGGGUAUGGCAGUACACCAGGAGCCUAGGAAGAAAAUACAUGGUCAAUAGGUAAGAUAUAUGGUAAGUUCAAUUCCCACACCCCUCUAAUCGUUAUGCAAUUGCUGGUUGUAAAUUGAUUGGUUUAUGCCUAUUCGUUGCGGAGUUCAAUUAUGUUUAGUUUGUGUUUAAUAUUGAUAUUGAUGUGUGAGUGCUUAUGAAUUGUUGUGUAAACCGUGUGAAAUCUAUAUUGCCAGUGAGGUUUGUUGGCCCAAUUUGGUGGUUUGGUCUGAAAAUGCUUCUAGUCUAAACCAAGUCUAAAUCAGUAGUAGACUGUCACUGUUGUUGAUUUGAGAGUAUUUAUAUUUGCUGUUGAUUUCCUUUUAUGUAAUUAACUUGAAAUUGAAAUUGCAUUCAGGGUUGAGUUCAUUGAUAACCUGGAAUCGACAUUGAUUGGAGGUGCCUUGACAUCCUCGACGAAGAGCCUUGCGAUCUUCAAUUCUAUUAUUUCUAUUGUUUGUAAUUGAAUUUGUGUAUUUUAGCCUGCGAAAAAAUCUGUACAAUCACGUUAGUGGGGUGCGCUAAAAAUAGCGAAAAGAAAACAGGGAUAGAAACUGACUCGGGAUAGGCCUUGUAGCGCUAACCGGGAUAGAAUCUGACUCGGGAUAGGUCUUGUAGCGCUAAAAAUAGCGAAAAAAAACAGGGAUAUAAUCUGACUCAACAAAUCAAAAUUGGUGUGUAUGGGCUUAUACGUGGGCUGAAUUCUGGAUGAAUCAGAACCGGUGUGAGUAUGGGCUUGUAGAUGUAGAAUACUGCACAAAUUAGAUUAGAUUAGAAUUGGUGUAUGGGCUUGUAGAUGGACAGUAGAUGGACAUAGAAUACUGAAACCAGUUUGGGCUUGUG